GUAGGGAAUCUUGCGCAAUGGGCGAAAGCCUGACGCAGCCAUGCCGCGUGAAUGAUGAAGGUCUUAGGAUUGUAAAAUUCUUUCACCGGGGACGAUAAUGACGGUACCCGGAGAAGAAGCUCCGGCUAACUUCGUGCCAGCAGCCGCGGUAAUACGAAGGGGGCUAGCGUUGCUCGGAAUUACUGGGCGUAAAGGGCGCGUAGGCGGAUAUUUAAGUCGGGGGUGAAAGCCCGGGGCUCAACCUCGGAAUAGCCUUCGAUACUGGAUAUCUUGAGUACGGGAGAGGUGUGUGGAACUCCGAGUGUAGAGGUGAAAUUCGUAGAUAUUCGGAAGAACACCAGUGGCGAAGGCGACACACUGGCCCGUUACUGACGCUGAGGCGCGAAAGCGUGGGGAGCAAACAGGAUUAGAAACCCUGGUAGUCC
rnacentral:rRNA from 1 species